rnacentral:misc_RNA from 1 species
AGCAGCCGCGGUAAUUCCAGCUCCAAUAGCGUAUAUUAAAGUUGUUGCAGUUAAAAGCUCGUAGUUGAAUUUCGGGGUUAGUAGGUUGGUCAUGCCUCUGGUAUGUACUGGUCUCACUGAUCCCUCCUUCCUUAUGAACCGUAGUGCCAUUAAUUUGGUGUUGCGGGAAAUUUGGACUGUUACUUUGAAAAAUUAGAGUGUUUAAAGCAAGCUAACGCUUGAAUACAUUAGCAUGGAAUAAUGAAAUAGGACGUUCGAUCUUAUUUUGUUGGUUUCUAGGAUUGACGUAAUGAUUAAUAGGGAUAAGUUGGGGGCAUUAGUAUUCAAUUGUCAGAGUGAAAUUCUUGGAU